rnacentral:rRNA from 1 species
AGAACGAACGCUGGCGGCGUGGAUAAGACAUGCAAGUCGAACGCGACUUAUCGAGUUAGCAAUAACUUGGUAAGUUGAGUGGCGAAAGGGUGCGUAACACGUGGGAAUUUACCGAGAAGUGGGGAAUAGCUCGACGAAAGUCGAAUUAAUACCGCAUACGAUCGCAAGAUCAAAGCCGGGGACCGCAAGGCCUGGCGCUUUUUGAGAAGCCCGCGGCCCAUCAGCUAGUUGGCGGGGUAAAAGCCCACCAAGGCUAUGACGGGUAGCUGGUCUGAGAGGACGACCAGCCACACUGGAACUGAGACACGGUCCAGACACCUACGGGUGGCAGCAGUCGAGAAUUUUUUCACAAUGGACGAAAGUCUGAUGGAGCGACGCCGCGUGGAGGAUGAAGGUUCUUGGAUUGUAAACUCCUGUCACUGCAGAACAAGGCUACACAUGUGAAUAGCGCGUGUAGUUGAUGGUAUGCGGAGAGGAAGGGACGGCUAACU